rnacentral:rRNA from 1 species
UACGUAGGGGGCAAGCGUUGUCCGGAUUUAUUGGGCGUAAAGAGCGUGUAGGCGGCCUGACAGGUCUGCUGUGAAAACUCGAGGCUCAACCUCGAGAUGUCGGCGGAAACCGUCUGGCUAGAGUCCGGAAGAGGAGAGUGGAAUUCCUGGUGUAGCGGUGAAAUGCGCAGAUAUCAGGAGGAACACCAAUGGCGAAGGCAGCUCGCUGGGACGGUACUGACGCUGAGGCGCGAAAGCGUGGGGAGCAAACAGG